rnacentral:rRNA from 1 species
UACGUAGGGUGCGAGCGUUAAUCGGAAUUACUGGGCGUAAAGCGUGCGCAGGCGGUUUUGCAAGCCGGAUGUGAAAUCCCCGGGCUCAACCUGGGAAUGGCAUUCGGGACUGCAAGGCUGGAGUGCGGCAGAGGAGACUGGAAUUCCUGGUGUAGCAGUGAAAUGCGUAGAUAUCGUCAGGAACGCCAAUGGUGAAGACAGGUGACUGGGCUAGUUCUGACACUGAGGCACGAAAGCGUGGGGAGCGAACGGG